CCCAGACUCCUACGGGAGGCAGCAGUGGGGAAUAUUGGGCAAUGGGCGCAAGCCUGACCCAGCAACGCCGCGUGAAGGAAGAAGGCUUUCGGGUUGUAAACUUCUUUUGACAGGGAAGAGCAGAAGACGGUACCUGUCGAAUAAGCCACGGCUAACUACGUGCCAGCAGCCGCGGUAAUACGUAGGUGGCAAGCGUUGUCCGGAUUUACUGGGUGUAAAGGGAGCGUAGACGGCGGUGCAAGCCAGAUGUGAAAGCCCGGGGCUCAACCCCGGGACUGCAUUUGGAACUGUGCUGCUAGAGUGUCGGAGAGGCAGGCGGAAUUCCUAGUGUAGCGGUGAAAUGCGUAGAUAUUAGGAGGAACACCAGUGGCGAAGGCGGCCUGCUGGACAUUAACUGACGCUGAGGCGCGAAAGCGUGGGGAGCAAACAGGAUUAGAUACCCCAGUA
rnacentral:rRNA from 1 species